UACGUAGGUGGCAAGCGUUGUUCGGAAUAACUGGGCGUAAAGGAUGCGUAGGCGGUUAAACAAGUUAUAUGUUAAAUAUAUAGGCUUAACCUGUAGAAAGCAUAUAAAACUGUUUAACUAGAGUGCAGGAGAGGCAGGCGGAAUUCCUAGUGUAGCGGUGAAAUGCGUAGAUAUUAGGAGGAACACCAGUGGCGAAGGCGACUUUCUGGACCGUAACUGACGUUGAGGCACGAAAGUGUGGGGAGCAAACAGG
rnacentral:rRNA from 1 species